UAUGAAUGCCUCUUUAUCCUUUUGGGAUAACUUCAAAAAUGUGCCAUGUGAUUUCGUGCAUAGACAUUUAAAGUACAAAGUUUUAUUUUUUUUUUAAUCAAAAUAGUACCUUAAAGAUUACUCAUUUACAAUAUCCCUUGCUCUGUUAAUGGUAAGCCAAAGUGUCAACUUGCCGUUAACGAAGAGAAGAGACAUUAUAACAGAG
rnacentral:misc_RNA from 1 species